GGCACCCUCCUCCCAAGUAGUCAGGUCGCCCUGCGCUGACUCUGCCUCCUCUCCAUUCUCUGUAGUCGAGGAUCAGGGGAGGGAGGCAGUUCAGUGGUGGGUUGCUCCUAGUUUGGUCCAGUUCUUGCGAACCGGUAGUAAAACCGGCAGGAGGCUUCGCCCACUGACCCGCACAUCAUCAUGGAAGUCCUGCACAUGUGCAGAAGCUUUGCGCAACAGUUCCCAUUGUGAACCAGUAGUAAAGUCAUCCUGCACCUUCUCUGAUGACCCUUUUGCGGCCUGAGGGACCCAGAACUGCCUCUUCUCGCUCCUCCGGUCCUUCCUCCUGGGCCAGAGAGGCUACACCCUCUUUAGCCAUCGGUCCUGGCUCCAUCUCCUCCUCCUCCUCCUCGGAAUCUGGCUCCGACGGGACCAUGACACAGCCUUUUUAAUUCCAGCUCAAAAUAAUAAUAAAGGAGAGGAUUUUAUUGAGUGCAUUUUCUUUGAAGCCUAUAAGGAUCCAAACAAAGGGAGCAGAUUUACAACUAAAGAAGUGGAAGCAUGAAGUUCUUCCUAAUUCCAGGUGAGUGGUAUCAACAACCAAAACCACAACUACAAACAGGCUAACCUCGUAUGAACUGAAUUUGGGGACACAUUAAAUGUGAACUGGUAUCAGUGAUGAUCUACCUGUGGGACUACGUCUUCUCCCUGAUCUUCGGACCUUUAAACGCGAGCUCAAAACCUUUUUCUUUCAUCAAGCGGGGCUGGCCUAAUGAUUAAUUUUAAUAUUGAGGGUUUUUUUAGUGGGUUUUUAAGGGGUUUUAAUUUAUUUAUUAAUUUUUAUUCAGCAAUUUUAACAUGCAGCUUAUGGAAUUAGAUUUUUAAUUGAAUAUUGUAUUUAAAUUUUUUUGAUAUCUAUGUUUUACUUAUGCUGUACACCGCCCUGAGUCCUCGGAGAAGGGCGGUAUAAAAAUUUGAAAAAAUAAAUAAACAAAAAAAUAAAUAAAUAAAUUUACA